AUCGGUGUCCAGGCGGACUAGGGUCUCGGUGCCCCGCCGCGCCACGGAGCAGUGCUCACGUUUCUUGCUCCUCCAGCUUAGGUAUCUUCGAGUGAGGGGAAACGGUGAGGUGUUCCUCGUCUUUACCAUUCCACUGCGGUGGAUGAGAGAGCCCCAGUCUCCAUGCUACGGAGCUCAGGUUCAGUGGGGGACUUAGACGGAUCACCAUCACCAGUGGUUCAGCCUCUCAGAUGGAGCCCUGAUACACUCCGUAAGCAGAGACUCCUGGUGUCUGUGGAGUUAUUGUUACCUCAAGCUGCUGUUCAUGGAGGAAGUUGCAGUGGGUUUCCUGUUCCUCUCCCGCAUAAGAAGAGGAUGUUUUCUUCUCCAUUCCCCAAAAGGCUGACGCAAAAAUGUGAGAUUGGCAUCUUAUUCACAGAAAGAACAAGUAGAAGUCAUAUUUGUACCCCUACCAUGUUCAGUCUGUUCAAUCUACAAAUGACAAAAUGAUUAUCAUCCCCAAACUGAGACCGUUAACCUGUAUUCUGCUCCUGACCCCUGUUUGACAAGCUUCAAGCUCUCACAUUAUGCCUGUAAUUUGCUGCUUAAAGGUGUUCAAGGAUCAGCAUCCAGGGGCUUGCUAGAAAUGCAGAAUCCCUUGCCCCUCCACUCCUGGACUUACUGAAUCAAAACAUGCAUUUUGACCAAAUCUGUCAGUGAUUCGUAUGCAUAUUGAAGUUUAAGAAGGUGCCAUCUACAUGACUUUGGGGGGAUAAAACCUUUAUUAGCAUUAAUACCCAGAGAUGGAUUCUUAUCACUGGCUUCUUGGAUAUACAGUUUUAAAAUUUAUGAUGACUAUCUGGCACAUUUUAGACCAUCCUGCUCUAAUUUCCUCAUAACAUUUGGCCUUUUUAUGACCAUGUUAACUGAAACAUGAACUGGGCCAGCUGAGAGACCCAGAAGGUGAGUCUUAGAAAGUGAAGAGCUGGAAAGAUGUGGCAGAGGUCACUAAGGAUGCUUCAACACCCAAAGCAACAACUCUGUACCAAGUGUGUCCACAUAUACUAAGAGUAGGAAGUACACACAGGAUUGAUUUACAGCAUCAUGAGUUUGGUGGUUUCAGGAAUGGAGAGCAGGAAGAAGGAACAGAAGGGGGAAGGGUUUAAUUUGCUUCUACAACAUUUUAUUUCUAAAAAGAAGAGAUCUGGUGCAAGUAUAGUUAACUGUUUUCAUCUGGGAAAUGUAGAUGGCACAUGGGGGUCUCUUAGACUUAUUUCUGCACAAUCUGUAGAUUUGAAACCUUUAUCUAAAUUAAGAAAUUAGGGGCGCCUGGGUGGCUCAGUGGGUUAAGCCGCUGCCUUCGGCUCAGGUCAUGAUCCCAGGGUUCUGGGAUUGAGCACUGGAUCGGGCUCUCUGCUCAGCAGGGAGCUUGCUUCCCUUCCUCUCUUUCUGUCUGCCUCUCUGUCUACUUGUAAUCUCUGUCUGUCAAAUAAAUAAAUAAAAUCUUAAAAAAAGAAAUUAAGAAAUUAAACAUUUAAAACAGUGUGGGGAGGUACAUUCUAGGUGUCUUGUGGGUGGAUGAUAGGAGGAGACAGGCCACAGCAGGGAACCAGGACAGGUGAUGACAGAGUUGAGGCUUGGCAGGGGGCGGUGGGAGAGAUGAUCGAGUAGAGUGGAGGAUGCUUAUCCCUCAAUUAAGCCCUUUCCAGAGAGGAAAGCAGUGUUCUCAUUGGGACAUGACAUGUCAAGGUUCCCUCUCUCUCACCUCUGGGAUUUUCUUCCUCCUCUGUCCCCUACCUCCAUCACCCUUCUUCAUUAUCUUAAAUGGCUACCUCCUCCUCCUUCUUUACAUUUUACCUCAGAUGUGCCCUUCUAUGCAAGCCUUCUCUGACCACCCCCCCACCCCCCGCCUCCAGGUUGGUUGGAUUAACUUCUCUGGACUCUCAAAGGUAAGCCGCUCUCUGAUGAAAAAUGCCCUACGCCUGGGUGGCUCAUUGCGUUAAGCCUCUGCCUUCGACUCACAUCAUGGUCUUAGGUUCCUGGGAUCGAGCCCCACAUUGGGCCCUCUGCUCCACGGGGAGCCUGCUCCCGCCUCCUUGUGACCUCGCUCUCUUUCUCUGUCAAAUAAAUAAAUAAAAUAUUUUAAAAAUGCCCUAAACCCAAAGUAGUGUUUUUCUUCCCAAACAAAAAAAUAUCUUGGCACAUGUGAUUUAG